rnacentral:miRNA from 1 species
AUAUCAUCCAACAACACAUUCA